CACGGGGGGAGCAAGCGUUGUUCGGAAUCACUGGGCGUAAAGGGCGUGCAGGCGGUCAGGUAAGUGGGAUGUGAAAUUCCCCGGCUCACCCGGGGGCCUGCAUCCCAAACUGCUUGGCUUGAGUAUGGGAGAGGAUGGAGGAAUUCCUGGUGUAGCGGUGAAAUGCGUAGAUAUCAGGAGGAACACCGGUGGCGAAGGCGUCCAUCUGGCCCAAUACUGACGCUGAAGCGCGAAAGCUAGGGGAGCAAACGGG
rnacentral:rRNA from 1 species